AAACAAGGCCAGAUAUAAUUUGAUUAUUGUGAACAAAAUCAAUAUCUUCAUAGAUAGAGCCAAUCAUUAUCGUCGACUGUAGGGUGGAUGGAAUCUGAUACAUAAGUCAAUUAACAAAAGAACAGAAGAAACUUCUCAUUCUACAUCGUGCAUGCGCCGACUUAUUUUUGGUCCUCCUUAAUAUGCAACUAGUACUCUAUGCCUUACAACUUGAUAGCAUCAAAUU
rnacentral:misc_RNA from 1 species